AUUUCGGACGUGACGGCGGUGAUGCAUCUGCGGGGGGAGGAGCCGAGGCUGGCGUUUCCUCUUGGGUUCCGGUUCCACCCCACCGACGAGGAGGUGGUCACGCACUACCUCACCUCCAAGAUCCGCAACCCCAACUUCCCCUGUCUCAUGAUCGCCAACGUCAACCUCAACAACACCGAGCCGUGGGAUCUCCCGAACAAGUCGAAGAUGGGCGUGGGCGAGACGGAGUGGUUCUUUUUUGUGCACAAGGAUCGGAAGUACCCGACGGGGACGCGCACCAACCGGGCGACGAAGAGCGGCUACUGGAAGGCGACGGGUAAGGACAAGGAGAUCUUCCACGGCAGGGGACUGGACGCAGUCCUUGUUGGCAUGAAGAAGACGCUCGUCUUCUACCGCGGCCGCGCCCCCGGCGGCCAGAAGACGGCGUGGGUGAUGCACGAGUACCGCCUCGAGGGCGAGAUGCCCCAUCGCCUACCCCGCUCCGCCAAGGACGAUUGGGCUGUUUGCCGGCUGUUCAACAAAGACUUGGCCGUGAAUGCGCCCCAGAUGGCCCCGGCGGCCGACGGGGGCACGGAGGAGAAGGACCCAUUCGCCUUCCUCGAUGAGUUGCUCAACAGUGAUGACUUGCUCAACAAUGCCGACCCGCCGAUGCUCAUGGACUCCCUGUCAGGCGCCAUAGACUUCGCGGGCGCUUCCAGCUCCACCUCCAGCGCGGCCCUUCCGAUUGAGCUGGACAUGGAGCAUCUGACCAGCAAGACGGAGCCACCGGCGCCGCAGCAGCAGAGCCCAAACUACAUGUGGAAGAUGUGA
rnacentral:rRNA from 1 species